GAAGAGAAACGGUAUCACACCAAAUUUGCAGUCUGACAUUUUAAUCUUGCAAAGUUACUUAAAAGCUGGAAAAAUUGCUGAUGCCUUAAAUUACUUUUGUGAUUUGUCAAAUAGAAGAGGUCUAGGAAGAAAACUAUGGAACAACAUGGUUGUUGGGCUUUGCAAAGCUAACAAGCCUGGAAAUGCAUGGAACAUGUUCUGGGAGAUGAGGUCAACUCAUU
rnacentral:misc_RNA from 1 species